ACAACACUGACAAAGAAGUGAAGCCAAACCCUGCAGAUCCUUCCAUGGAGGUCGAAUACAGCCUAUUGCAAAAGGUGAAGAUCGUGCAGGGUGAAGAAGAUACUGCAUUUACAGAAGCAGCCGCUGAACAGCCGCUUGUUUGUGAUGAUCAGCGUGUCCUCUACACGCUUAUUAAAUACACACCUAAUCUGGAGCUGUGAAGUAUUCAACAC